AUUGAACGCUGGCGGCAUGCCUUACACAUGCAAGUCGAACGGUGACCUCGAGAGCUUGCUCUUGAGUGAUCAGUGGCGAACGGGUGAGUAACACGUGAGUAACCUGCCCCAGACUCUGGAAUAACCCCGGGAAACCGGAGCUAAUACCGGAUACGAAGUGGAGCCGCAUGGCUACUACUUGGAAAGUUUUUCGGUCUGGGAUGGACUCGCGGCCUAUCAGCUAGUUGGUGAGGUAACGGCUCACCAGGGCGACGACGGGUAGCCGGCCUGGGGGGGCGACGGGCCACACGGGGACUGGGACACGGCCAAGGAGACUACGGGAGGCAGCAGUGGGGAAUAUGGCACAAUGGGCGAAAGCCUGAUGCAGCGACGCCGCGUGAGGGAUGACGGCCUUCGGGUUGUAAACCUCUUUCAGCAGGGAAGAAGCGAAAGUGACGGUACCUGCAGAAGAAGCACCGGCUAACUACGUGCCAGCCGCCGCCGUAAGAC
rnacentral:rRNA from 1 species